rnacentral:rRNA from 1 species
UACGUAGGGGGCAAGCGUUGUCCGGAAUCAUUGGGCGUAAAGCGCGUGUAGGCGGCUCGGUAAGUCUGCUGUGAAAGUCCAGGGCUCAACCCUGGGAUGCCGGUGGAUACUGUCGGGCUCGAGUCCGGAAGAGGCGAGUGGAAUUCCUGGUGUAGCGGUGAAAUGCGCAGAUAUCAGGAGGAACACCAAUGGCGAAGGCAGCUCGCUGGGACGUGACUGACGCUGAGACGCGAAAGCGUGGGGAGCAAACAGG